rnacentral:rRNA from 1 species
UACGUAGGUGGCAAGCGUUGUCCGGAAUUAUUGGGCGUAAAGCGCGCGCAGGCGGUCCUUUAAGUCUGAUGUGAAAGCCCACGGCUCAACCGUGGAGGGUCAUUGGAAACUGGGGGGACUUGAGUGCAGAAGAGGAAAGUGGAAUUCCAAAGUGUAGCGGUGAAAUGCGUAGAGAUUUGGAGGAACACCAGUGGCGAAGGCGACUUUUCUGGUCUGUAACUGACGCUGA